rnacentral:rRNA from 1 species
UGAACGCUGGCGGUAGGCCUAACACAUGCAAGUCGAACGGCAGCACAGUAAGAGCUUGCUCUUACGGGUGGCGAGUGGCGGACGGGUGAGGAAUACAUCGGAAUCUACUUUUUCGUGGGGGAUAACGUAGGGAAACUUACGCUAAUACCGCAUACGACCUACGGGUGAAAGCAGGGGAUCUUAGGACCUUGCGCGAUUGAAUGAGCCGAUGUCGGAUUAGCUAGUUGGCGGGGUAAAGGCCCACCAAGGCGACGAUCCGUAGCUGGUCUGAGAGGAUGAUCAGCCACACUGGAACUGAGACACGGUCCAGACUCCUACGGGAGGCAGCAGUGGGGAAUAUUGGACAAUGGGCGCAAGCCUGAUCCAGCCAUACCGCGUGGGUGAAGAAGGCCUUCGGGUUGUAAAGCCCUUUUGUUGGGAAAGAAAAGCAGCAGGUUAAUACCCCGCUGUUCUGACGGUACCCAAAGAAUAAGCACCGGCUAACUUCGUG